rnacentral:lncRNA from 1 species
CCCGCCCACACCAGACCUGCUGAACUCGCUGACCAGCCGCGCUGGAAUCCUCUUCGCCCAAGAAACACCUGAGCAGGUCUGGACUGCUCCAAAGCGAACCAGGUAAAUUUCCACGCUAGCUCACUAUGGACUUUCCCCAGGCCCUGGGACCCAUUCACACUGGCUCUACGCAGCUUCCCAGCGGAGAGGGAGAGAAAGAGAGAAAGAGACACACACAGAGAGACAGAGACAGAGACACAGGGAGAGACAGAGAGAGAGAUAGAGGCAGAGAGACAGACAGAGAUCCCUGCCAGGUGACCAAGCAGCAGGCAGGUGCACCUUACCUUACGCAAGCCAAAUCCAAACUGCGACGCAGAAAAACGCACGGGCUCUGCUGGAAACCUAGUUCUCCGCUUCUUCUCAGUCUGGGCAGCACCCGGCAGGGUUUCCUGCGCAGCGCACGCCGCUCCCACACCGUAAGCGCGGACGCAGAUCCUGCCCUCGAGGGGCGCAGCCUCACCCCCAGCUAAAACGCAUUUCCCUCGGGGCUGGCACCUGGGAAGCGGCCACACACCUUCGGGGUGUCCGCCCCACAGGUAAGGAGGCGCCGCGCGCCUCCCAGAUUUCUUCUUUCGGUUUCCCCAGAGAGCCCCGGCUGCAGAGAGCGGCGCAGCCCCCGCGCCCGCCGCGAGCACCCCUCCCCGGCCACGUGCGGGUCACCCGACUCCCGGGCCGCGCCGCGGGGGGCCGCACCCCGACACACCUCCCUCCGACCCGGCUCCGGUCGCCUCGGCCCCCCGCACCCCCGUGGCUCGGCGCGCGCCAAGUUGAGGCUCGGCGAAAGAGAGGGGCGCGGAGCGGCUGGGGCGGGGCGACUCGAGCCGAGGACUUGGGGGCGCCGUGCCCCUCCCUCCGCGCCCGCCAGAUCCCCGCGGUCUCCGCGCCCCGCCCCGGCCCGCGCUCACCCUCCGCAUGGUGCCUCCCUGGGCUCUGCGCGGCCUCCGGGAGGGGGAGGGGGAAGAAGAGGGAGGGGUGCCCCGCCCACCCCACCCGGGGGCCUCGGCGCGCCUCCUCGGCCGGGAGGGACCGGCGGCCGGCCCACGCUGGGCCGUGGAAAGUUGCCGCCGGCGCUGUCGCCGACCCGGAACGUGGACGGAGAAGAGGGGCGGCGGGCAGCGUGGGGCACGGUCGCCGCCGGAGAGGACUUCGGGUUUCUCCCACUCGAUGGGAAAGUGGCCCGUUCAGGGUCUGCCUACCGGGGCCUUUUCCCCUCCCUUCAUGUGGCUGUCUUCAAACUGUUCUCUUUUUGCCCUUGAAAGAAUAA